rnacentral:tRNA from 1 species
UGGGAUGUAGCUCAGUGGUAGAGCAUUUGUCUAGAGUGCAUGAGGCCCUGAGAUGGAUCCUCAGCCCCUUAA